rnacentral:rRNA from 1 species
GAUGAACGCUGGCGGCGUGCCUAAUACAUGCAAGUCGAGCGAACAGACGAGGAGCUUGCUCCUCUGACGUUAGCGGCGGACGGGUGAGUAACACGUGGAUAACCUACCUAUAAGACUGGGAUAACUUCGGGAAACCGGAGCUAAUACCGGAUGAUAUAUUGAACCGCAUGGUUCAAUAGUGAAAGACGGUUUUGCUGUCACUUAUAGAUGGAUCCGCGCCGCAUUAGCUAGUUGGUAAGGUAACGGCUUACCAAGGCAACGAUGCGUAGCCGACCUGAGAGGGUGAUCGGCCACACUGGAACUGAGACACGGUCCAGACUCCUACGGGAGGCAGCAGUAGGGAAUCUUCCGCAAUGGGCGAAAGCUUGACGGAGCAACGCCGCGUGAGUGAUGAAGGUCUUCGGAUCGUAAAACUCUGUUAUUAGGGAAGAACAAAUGUGUAAGUAACUAUGCACGUCUUGACGGUACCUAAUCAGAAAGCCACGGCUAACUACGUG